rnacentral:rRNA from 1 species
CCCUUAGAUGUUCUGGGCCGCACGCGCGCUACACUGAUGCAUUCAACGAGCCUAUCCUUGACCGACAGGUCCGGGUAAUCUUUGAAUCUGCAUCGUGACGGGGAUAGAUUAUUGCAAUUAUUAAUCUUCAACGAGGAAUGCCUAGUAGGCGCAAGUCAUCAGCUUGCGUCGAUUACGUCCCUGCCCUUUGUACACACCGCCCGUCGCUCCUACCGAUUGGGUGUGCUGGUGAAAUGUUCGGAUCGGCCGUUUGUCGCGGUUUCCGCGUCAUGUGGCUGAGAAGUUCAUUAAACCCUCCCACCUAGAGGAAGGAGACGUCGUAACA